rnacentral:rRNA from 1 species
GCAGUCGACGGAAAGGCCCUGCUUUUGUGGGGUGCUCGAGUGGCGAACGGGUGAGUAACACGUGAGUAACCUGCCCUUGACUUUGGGAUAACUUCAGGAAACUGGGGCUAAUACCGGAUAGGAGCUCCUGCUGCAUGGUGGGGGUUGGAAAGUUUCGGCGGUUGGGGAUGGACUCGCGGCUUAUCAGCUUGUUGGUGGGGUAGUGGCUUACCAAGGCUUUGACGGGUAGCCGGCCUGAGAGGGUGACCGGCCACAUUGGGACUGAGAUACGGCCCAGACUCCUACGGGAGGCAGCAGUGGGGAAUAUUGCACAAUGGGCGGAAGCCUGAUGCAGCAACGCCGCGUGCGGGAUGACGGCCUUCGGGUUGUAAACCGCUUUCGCCUGUGACGAAGCGUGAGUGACGGUAAUGGGUAAAGAAGCACCGGCUAACUACGUGCCAGCAGCCGCGGUGAUACGUAGGGUGCGAGCGUUGUCCGGAUUUAUUGGGCGUAAAGGGCUCGUAGGUGGUUGAUCGCGUCGGAAGUGUAAUCUUGGGGCUUAACCCUGAGCGUGCUUUCGAUACGGGUUGACUUGAGGAAGGUAGGGGAGAAUGGAAUUCCUGGUGGAGCGGUGGAAUGCGCAGAUAUCAGGAGGAACACCAGUGGCGAAGGCGGUUCUCUGGGCCUUUCCUGACGCUGAGGAGCGAAAGCGUGGGGAGCGAACAGGCUUAGAUACCCUGGUAGUCCACGCUGUAAACGGUGGGUACUAGGUGUGGGGUCCAUUCCACGGGUUCCGUGCCGUAGCUAACGCUUUAAGUACCCCGCCUGGGGAGUACGGCCGCAAGGCUAAAACUCAAAGGAAUUGACGGGGCCCCGCACAAGCGGCGGAGCAUGCGGAUUAAUUCGAUGCAACGCGUAGAACCUUACCUGGGUUUGACAUGGAUCGGGAGCGCUCAGAGAUGGGUGUGCCUCUUUUGGGGUCGGUUCACAGGUGGUGCAUGGCUGUCGUCAGCUCGUGUCGUGAGAUGUUGGGUUAAGUCCCGCAACGAGCGCAACCCUUGUUCACUGUUGCCAGCACGUUAUGGUGGGGACUCAGUGGAGACCGCCGGGGUCAACUCGGAGGAAGGUGGGGAUGACGUCAAGUCAUCAUGCCCCUUAUGUCCAGGGCUUCACGCAUGCUACAAUGGCUGGUACAGAGAGUGGCGAGCCUGUGAGGGUGAGCGAAUCUCGGAAAGCCGGUCUCAGUUCGGAUUGGGGUCUGCAACUCGACCUCAUGAAGUCGGAGUCGCUAGUAAUCGCAGAUCAGCAACGCUGCGGUGAAUACGUUCCCGGGGCUUGUACACACCGCCCGUCAAGUCAUGAAAGUUGGUAACACCCGAAGCCGGUGGCCUAACCGUUG